rnacentral:rRNA from 1 species
AAAUUGAAGAGUUUGAUCAUGGCUCAGAUUGAACGCUGGCGGCAGGCCUAACACAUGCAAGUCGAGCGGAAACGAGUUAUCUGAACCUUCGGGGAACGAUAACGGCGUCGAGCGGCGGACGGGUGAGUAAUGCCUAGGAAAUUGCCCUGAUGUGGGGGAUAACCAUUGGAAACGAUGGCUAAUACCGCAUGAUGCCUACGGGCCAAAGAGGGGGACCUUCGGGCCUCUCGCGUCAGGAUAUGCCUAGGUGGGAUUAGCUAGUUGGUGAGGUAAGGGCUCACCAAGGCGACGAUCCCUAGCUGGUCUGAGAGGAUGAUCAGCCACACUGGAACUGAGACACGGUCCAGACUCCUACGGGAGGCAGCAGUGGGGAAUAUUGCACAAUGGGCGCAAGCCUGAUGCAGCCAUGCCGCGUGUGUGAAGAAGGCCUUCGGGUUGUAAAGCACUUUCAGUCGUGAGGAAGGUAGUGUAGUUAAUAGCUGCAUUAUUUGACGUUAGCGACAGAAGAAGCACCGGCUAACUCCGUGCCAGCAGCCGCGGUAAUACGGAGGGUGCGAGCGUUAAUCGGAAUUACUGGGCGUAAAGCGCAUGCAGGUGGUUUGUUAAGUCAGAUGUGAAAGCCCGGGGCUCAACCUCGGAAUUGCAUUUGAAACUGGCAGACUAGAGUACUGUAGAGGGGGUAGAAUUUCAGGUGUAGCGGUGAAAUGCGUAGAGAUCUGAAGGAAUACCGGUGGCGAAGGCGGCCCCCUGGACAGAUACUGACACUCAGAUGCGAAAGCGUGGGGAGCAAACAGGAUUAGAUACCCUGGUAGUCCACGCCGUAAACGAUGUCUACUUGGAGGUUGUGGCCUUGAGCCGUGGCUUUCGGAGCUAACGCGUUAAGUAGACCGCCUGGGGAGUACGGUCGCAAGAUUAAAACUCAAAUGAAUUGACGGGGGCCCGCACAAGCGGUGGAGCAUGUGGUUUAAUUCGAUGCAACGCGAAGAACCUUACCUACUCUUGACAUCCAGAGAACUUUCCAGAGAUGGAUUGGUGCCUUCGGGAACUCUGAGACAGGUGCUGCAUGGCUGUCGUCAGCUCGUGUUGUGAAAUGUUGGGUUAAGUCCCGCAACGAGCGCAACCCUUAUCCUUGUUUGCCAGCGAGUAAUGUCGGGAACUCCAGGGAGACUGCCGGUGAUAAACCGGAGGAAGGUGGGGACGACGUCAAGUCAUCAUGGCCCUUACGAGUAGGGCUACACACGUGCUACAAUGGCGCAUACAGAGGGCAGCCAACUUGCGAAAGUGAGCGAAUCCCAAAAAGUGCGUCGUAGUCCGGAUUGGAGUCUGCAACUCGACUCCAUGAAGUCGGAAUCGCUAGUAAUCGUGGAUCAGAAUGCCACGGUGAAUACGUUCCCGGGCCUUGUACACACCGCCCGUCACACCAUGGGAGUGGGCUGCAAAAGAAGUAGGUAGUUUAACCUUCGGGGGGACGCUUACCACUUUGUGGUUCAUGACUGGGGUGAAGUCGUAACAAGGUAGCGCUAGGGGAACCUGGCGCUGGAUCACCUCCUUA